AGGAUCCUCUCCUGAGCAACUUAAUGACCUGAGCUACCUGAGCUCUCUACGAGAUGACGACACGUGUCCAAACUCACAUCUAAUGGCUGCAAUGAAUUUAGGGUUCUGUCUCCAAUUUUUUUGAGUUUUAUGUUGCCGCGCUCUUGGUUUCGUUUCCCCGCGUUCUCCCUCUUUUGUUCUUGGCCUCUUCUGCUAUGAAAUAAAAAAACACAAGUCUUCAGUCUUUAAAUUCAAUGGCUGUGUGCGGGGAGAUCUAAUCAAAAGUUCAAAAUUUUAGCUUUGAGUCUUCUAUCUCACUUUCUCCUGCAUUUCAUUGCUACAGCCUACAGGUAAGUGUAAUACUCCUUUAUUUUGGGUUUUCUUUGAAAGUUCUCUCUUCAUAUUGUGUGUCUUAGAGUUUAGGAAUUCUGUAUUUGAUAUUGACGAAGAGGAAUUCCUAAUUUCUUGUUUUCCGGAAGAUAUCUCAUUAGUUUAGUUGAGAACAUUGUGUUCCUCAUGAUCUUGAUCUCAUUGUUAUUGUUUGAUUGUUGCUUGAUCUUGAUCUCAUUGUUUUCCUCUGAUUCGGGUUUGUUGUGUUGGUUGUGUUCUCUGUGUUGGUUGUUCUUUUUUAGUUGAGUAAUUGUCAAUUGAAGAUUAUUAUAGUUACUAUACAAGAAAUUGGUUGCAGAUGGAUAAAUCAUUGGGUGCUGCAGACUUUAAUAUUGAGAAUUCUGAUUUGGAGUUGGAUUGGAAACCUAGAAAAGGAAUGGAGUUUGAUUCUGGAACAAGAUAUUUCUGCAUCUUCACUUGGAUUUCUUGCUUGCAGUCAGGAGUUUGAUUUAAACAACGAUCCCCAAUGAAAUGCAUGUUUUCAUGGCCUCUGGAUAUGAAAGGUUGUGCAUCAUUCUGUUUUGUUUUUGUAAGAGAAGAGUUGCAGGCUUGUGUUUUGUUUUUAUAAGAAACUGAAAGGGCAAUUGUGUAGUGUAGGCUUCCGUACAGUUUUUGUAAAAAAUGGAGAAGGCAAUUGUGCAGUGGCUUCUGUAUAGUUUUUGUGAGAAAUGGAGAAGGCAAUUGGCUUCUGUAUAGCUUUAACUUUUAGUCAGAAAUGGAGAAGGCAAUUCUGCAGUGGCUUCUGUUUUGUUUUAGUCAGAAAUGUGCAGCCUUGUACUUGUUAUUGACAACUUUUAGUAACAAAGCUCACUGUUUUGUUUUUUUUAAGAGAGGGCAAAGGUGCAGCCUUGUACUUGCUAUUGACAACAAUUAGUCAUUAUGUUACCAAUUUCUGGGUUACAUAUAUAGAAUACCAAAAUGACUUCCAAACUGGUGUAUCU